rnacentral:lncRNA from 1 species
UCAAAGCCAAGGCCACAAAGGCCGAGAAGAAGGCAGAGGGCUAGGUUGCUGAGGCCAGGUGUCUGACGGUGGAAGCUUUUCAAAAUUGAAAGAAUUCUCUCAAGCAAAGGUGGAGUUCGGCCAUGAUGCCUACGGCACCAGACAGAAUGCCUGCCGUAGGAAGAUUGUGGCACAUUUUUCAAACCUCGAUCUAAUCUUCUUGGAUGAAGGGG